rnacentral:rRNA from 1 species
GCUUAACACAUGCAAGUCGAGGGGCAUCAGGAAGAAAGCUUGCUUUCUUUGCUGGCGACCGGCGCACGGGUGAGUAACACGUAUCCAACCUGCCCUUUACUCGGGGAUAGCCUUUCGAAAGAAAGAUUAAUACCCGAUAGCAUAAUGAUUCCGCAUGGUUUCAUUAUUAAAGGAUUCCGGUAAAGGAUGGGGAUGCGUUCCAUUAGGUUGUUGGUGAGGUAACGGCUCACCAAGCCUUCGAUGGAUAGGGGUUCUGAGAGGAAGGUCCCCCACAUUGGAACUGAGACACGGUCCAAACUCCUACGGGAGGCAGUAGUGAGGAAUAUUGGUCAAUGGGCGCUAGCCUGAACCAGCCAAGUAGCGUGAAGGAUGAAGGCUCUAUGGGUCGUAAACUUCUUUUAUAUAAGAAUAAAGUGCAGUAUGUAUACUGUUUUGUAUGUAUUAUAUGAAUAAGGAUCGGCUAACUCCGUGCCAGCAGCCGCGGUAAUACGGAGGAUCCGAGCGUUAUCCGGAUUUAUUGGGUUUAAAGGGAGCGUAGGUGGACUGGUAAGUCAGUUGUGAAAGUUUGCGGCUCAACCGUAAAAUUGCAGUUGAUACUGUCAGUCUUGAGUACAGUAGAGGUGGGCGGAAUUCGUGGUGUAGCGGUGAAAUGCUUAGAUAUCACGAAGAACUCCGAUUGCGAAGGCAGCUCACUGGACUGCAACUGACACUGAUGCUCGAAAGUGUGGGUAUCAAACAGGAUUAGAUACCCUGGUAGUCCACACAGUAAACGAUGAAUACUCGCUGUUUGCGAUAUACAGUAAGCGGCCAAGCGAAAGCAUUAAGUAUUCCACCUGGGGAGUACGCCGGCAACGGUGAAACUCAAAGGAAUUGACGGGGGCCCGCACAAGCGGAGGAACAUGUGGUUUAAUUCGAUGAUACGCGAGGAACCUUACCCGGGCUUAAAUUGCAGUGGAAUGAUGUGGAAACAUGUCAGUGAGCAAUCACCGCUGUGAAGGUGCUGCAUGGUUGUCGUCAGCUCGUGCCGUGAGGUGUCGGCUUAAGUGCCAUAACGAGCGCAACCCUUAUCUUCAGUUACUAACAGGUCAUGCUGAGGACUCUGGAGAGACUGCCGUCGUAAGAUGUGAGGAAGGUGGGGAUGACGUCAAAUCAGCACGGCCCUUACGUCCGGGGCUACACACGUGUUACAAUGGGGGGUACAGAAGGCAGCUAGCGGGUGACCGUAUGCUAAUCCCAAAAGCCUCUCUCAGUUCGGAUCGAAGUCUGCAACCCGACUUCGUGAAGCUGGAUUCGCUAGUAAUCGCGCAUCAGCCACGGCGCGGUGAAUACGUUCCCGGGCCUUGUACACACCGCCCGUCAAGCCAUGGGAGCCGGGGGUACCUGAAGUACGUAACCACGAGGAUCGUCCUAGGGUAAAACUGGUGACUGGGGCC